AGGGCCAUAUCAUGUUGAAACACCAGUUCCCAUAUAAUCCCUGAAGUUAAGCAACAUGAAGCCUGGUUAGUACUUAGAUGAGUGUUAGCUUGGG
rnacentral:rRNA from 1 species